CUCUCUGUCAGACUUUCUGUGUCCUCACCUAGGACUGUAUAAAGCAGGAUAGGACAGUCAAUCCCGUGAUGCAGUUCGGUACUCAAUUACAGGCGCCAUUUGUGGAGCCCACUCAGUACUGAAUACAUUGCGGCGAUGCUGUGCUGCAGCGCCAGGAUAUACCGAGGUGGAUCGACAAUUAUAAAAAGAAGCUGAAGAGGGGAGAGCAUUCCAGUGAACCCAGAGUUAAACUUGAACAAGGGCUAAGAGAGGCAUCGAUGUGUCCUACAGUGAGAACUUAUCAAAACAAGAGGGCAACACUAACAAAGAGAAGGUGCAGGCUUUACACAGGACCUGGAGGAGCAGCACAGCCGAGGAACAGGAGCGGUGCUCUGAAACGUCGAGGAAAAUGACCCCUCCACAGCGACCUGCAGACCACAGUCCUGAUCAAAAGAAGAGCCUCUACAAGGACACCUUAAAGAAUAUUGCACAACAGGUCAUCUGUGUGGUCAGCUUAUACAAGAGAUGGGCAACUCUAGUCCUCAAAUUUGCAGCUUUCGUUCAUGUUCUGCCUCAGUUAUCAAGCUCGUAAAUGCUCGUUGUCUUUUUUGUACUUAUGUUUCUAUCAGUUGCUAAUCAGAAAAUAAAACAAAGAUUCCAACCCCUCAAAGACUGAAAGAGCCAGUUCUUUAUUUGCACCAAACAAGCAAUCGAAAACUCAGAAUUAAAAACAAAUGUUACUGUCACACUCUGAUG